rnacentral:lncRNA from 1 species
GCUUUUUUUUUUUUUUGUACCGAGGAUCGAACUCAGGACCUUGCGCUUGCACGGCGGGCACAGCAACCACUGAGCUAAAUCCCCAGCCCUACCACAGUGCUCUCUUUGUUAUCUAGUGAGCUGCUCAAAGGAUGAAGGAACUAACUGCUCUCAGAGUAGGGGCCUAGUUCUUUUCCAUUUCAAUUCUUGGGAAGCUGAGGCAUGGAUGCCUUCCAUAUCUGACACAGUGACUUUAUGCUAUUUCUCUCCAGAGAGCUCAUCAGUAGACAUCCCCGACGCUGGCUACGGAAACAAGUCAGGAACCAGUCUGGCCUCUUGUCUGUGAAGAGGGAAGAGGAGGGACAGAGGAAGAUGGCGAACAGGUUUGGGAUGCAGGGGAUUAGGGAAAUAACUGCUCACAUGGACAGCACAGCAGGACUGCCAUGGUUGACAAACUGAGUCUUUCAAGAUAUCUCACAAAGAAGAGUUUGAAUGUUCUCAACACAAACAAACAAUAAACGUUUGAGAUGAUGGAAAUGGCAAUUACUCUGAUCUGAUCAUUUUACAUUACAUACACAUAUUGAAAUGUUGCACUAUACCCUCUAAAUAUGUAUAAUUAUGUAUCAAUUUAAAUUUUUUAAAACAAAAGUAAAUUAACCUGUCAUGGCCUUUUUUGUUCUCUAAUUAAUCUAAGCUCAUCAUCUAUGUACAUCAUAUAGCUCAGCUGUCUAUUGUACACUGCUCAACAUGCACACAGCCUACAUUCAUUAUUCCUCCAAUACCAUUAUUAACUUACAGCUAGAAAAACUACUGUUUGAAAGAUUCAUUCCUUUAAUUUAUUAAAGUUAUUUUUGAAAUGUGAUUUUUUUU